UACGGGGGGUGCGAGCGUUAAUCGGAAUAACUGGGCGUAAAGGGCACGCAGGCGGUGACUUAAGUGAGAUGUGAAAGCCCCGAGCUUAACUUGGGAAUUGCAUUUCAUACUGGGUCGCUAGAGUACUUUAGGGAGGGGUAGAAUUCCACGUGUAGCGGUGAAAUGCGUAGAGAUGUGGAGGAAUACCGAAGGCGAAGGCAGCCCCUUGGGAAUGUACUGACGCUCAUGUGCGAAAGCGUGGGGAGCAAACAGGAUUAGAUACCCUGGUAGUCCACGCUGUAAACGAUGUCGAUUUGGGGAUUGGGCUUUGAGCUUGGUGCCCGUAGCUAACGUGAUAAAUCGACCGCCUGGGGAGUACGGCCGCAAGGUUA
rnacentral:rRNA from 1 species